GUCGUGGGGGUCGCAGGUGCAAACAGCGGCGCCUCCCCUGCUCACAACGGGGAGCCCAUGAGCCCCCCGAGUUCCCCUCUGCCCCCAGAAGUGGCCCCAGACAGUGUGCCAGCCACCAAGGCAGGACCAUGCUGGGAGCUCAGUGUUGCCUCAGGACAGUGACAGGUCCUCCACAUGCCCUGCUGGUGCCCAGGAGCCAGGAUAAGGAGCCCUGCAGCAGCUGGGUGUGUAAAGUGCAGCCACUAUCGGGGAGCUGCAGGCUCGCUUGGCUUCUGCCGGGCUAGUGUGUGGUGAGGGAUGAGGUGAUACUGCCACCUCCUGAGUAGCCUGGCCAGCUUUGGGGUCCUGAGGCUGAACCAGGCCCCACCCCUACCACGUUCAACAGGAGUGACAAGCCCUUCACGUCCAAGAGCAAUGAAUGUGGUUUUCCUCUGAAUUAGGCCCCUGUAAAGCAAUUGUCUUGGGCACAUUGUCAGCUGGAGGUCAGGAAGUUCGGUCCCAGACCCAAACAGCAUCGACCACAAGAGGUGAUCAAAUACACGGGCCCUCCUGAGGAUCAAAUGGGAUGACAAGACAGUCGAAACCUGGCCAUUCACAGGGAGCCCCAGGAAAUUCCUCAAAACCCCUGUGACCAGGGAAAAGCUGAAGAUUCUCCUUGACCAAACUCUAGCCAGGCUCCUCUGAGCCCUCUUCUUGGCAUAGGCCUCAGCCUGAAAUAGUUCCUAACAGCUCAAGGCCACCUCUCUAAGAUUAUCCUCUCUGCCCCUGCCUGCCUGAGGAAACUCCGGGCUGCCAGAGAACUCUCUGUUCCAGCCCCACCUGAGAACGGGGCCACCUCUCAUCUCGGUGGGAGGGUGGGAGCCUAACUUUGAUCAUGCCCCCCUCACACAGCUGGGCUGGUCUCCUUUAUGCUGACCUCUGUUUGUCC
ensembl:lncRNA